rnacentral:rRNA from 1 species
UACGUAGGGGGGCAAGCGUUGUCCGGAUUUAUUGGGCGUAAAGAGCGUGUAGGCGGCUUUACAGGUCCGUUGUGAAAACUCGAGGCUCAACCUCGAGACGCCGGUGGAAACCGUAAGGCUAGAGUCCGGAAGAGGAGAGUGGAAUUCCUGGUGUAGCGGUGAGAUGCGCAGAUAUCAGGAAGAACACCCGUGGCGAAGGCAGCCCCCCUGGGAUAACACUGACGCUCAUGCACGAAAGCGUGGGGAGCAAACAGG